CCUACGGGACGCAGCAGCAGGGAAUCUUCGGCAAUGGACGAAAGUCUGACCGAGCAACGCCGCGUGAGUGAAGAAGGUUUUCGGAUCGUAAAACUCUGUUGUUAGAGAAGAACAAGGACGUUAGUAACUGAACGUCCCCUGACGGUAUCGAACCAGAAAGCCACGGCUAACUACGUGCCAGCAGCCGCGGUAAUACGUAGGUGGCAAGCGUUGUCCGGAUUUAUUGGGCGUAAAGCGGGCGCAGGCGGUUUCUUAAGUCUGAUGUGAAAGCCCCCGGCUCAACCGGGGAGGGUCAUUGGAAACUGGGAGACUUGAGUGCAGAAGAGGAGAGUGGAAUUCCAUGUGUAGCGGUGAAAUGCGUAGAUAUAUGGAGGAACACCAGUGGCGAAGGCGGCUCUCUGGUCUGUAACUGACGCUGAGGCUCGAAAGCGUGGGGAGCAAGCAGGAUUAGAUACCCGCGUAGUC
rnacentral:rRNA from 1 species